UAACGUGAUUGUAAUCCGCCCCUUACAAACGAGGUUAAUACAUGCAAUUCUAGGGGCAGAUGAUCUUACCUUUUUCUAAGGUCGAUGGCGACCGGGGCACGGGUGCGUAACGCGUAUGCAACUUGCCUUACAGAGGGGGAUAACCCGUUGAAAGACGGACUAAAACCGCAUACACUUGUAUUAUUGCAUGAUAUUACAAGGAAAUAUUUAUAGCUGUAAGAUAGGCAUGCGUCCCAUUAGCUUGUUGGUGAGGUAACGGCUCACCAAGGCGACGAUGGGUAGGGGAACUGAGAGGUUUAUCCCCCACUCUGGUACUGAGACACGGACCAGACUCCUACGGGAGGCAGCAGUGAGGAAUAUUGGUCAAUGGGCGAGAGCCUGAACCAGCCAAGUCGCGUGAAGGAAGACUGUCCUAAGGAUUGUAAACUUCUUUUAUACGGGAAUAACGGGCGAUACGAGUAUUGCAUUGAAUGUACCGUAAGAAUAUUCAUCGGCUAACUCCGUGCCAGCAGCCGCGGUAAUACGGAGGAUGCGAGCGUUAUCCGGAUUUAUUGGGUUUAAAGGUUGCGUAGGUUGUUCGGUAAGUCAGCGUUAAACCUGAGCGCUCAACGUUUCAGCCUGCCGUUGAAACUGCCGGGCUUGAGUUCAUUGGUGGCAGGUGGAUUUCGUGGUGUAUCGUUGAAAUGCUUAGAUAUCACGAGGAACUCCCGAUUGCGAAGGCAGCUUGCCAUACUGCGACUGAAACUGAACCCGAAAGGCUUGGUUAUCAAACAGGAAUUAGAUACCCUGGUAGUCCCCGCUAUAACGAUGAUUACUAGGAGUCUCGCGAUAUUACCGUCAAUCUUCCACAGCGAAAGCGUAAAUAAUCCACCUGGGGAGUACACCUGCAACGGUGAAUACUCUAACGAAAUUGAACGGUU
rnacentral:rRNA from 1 species